UACGAAGGGGGCUAGCGUUGUUCGGAAUCACUGGGCGUAAAGGGCGCGUAGGCGGCUUUGUAAGUCGGGGGUGAAAGCCUGUGGCUCAACCACAGAAUUUGCCUUCGAUACUGCAUGGCUUGAGACCGGAAGAGGUUAGUGGAACUGCGAGUGUAGAGGUGAAAUUCGUAGAUAUUCGCAAGAACACCAGUGGCGAAGGCGGCUGACUGGUCCGGUUCUGGACGCUGAGGCGCGAAAAGCGUGGGG
rnacentral:rRNA from 1 species